rnacentral:ribozyme from 13 species
CCAAACCUGAAGAAGUCAUAUUCUCUCAAAAACAAAAAAAGAAGAAUCAAAGAAAGAAAGAAAGAAAGAGAAGAGUGUUGUGGUAGAGGAGUGUUGCGAGUGUUGUUCUCUUCUUGUUGUUGUUUCUUCUUGUUGUUCGUGCUGUUGAAGAGCUUCCUCUUUCUCUUGCGGUCAUGGGGAACCAGCAAUCAUUAAAACAAAAAGAA